rnacentral:rRNA from 1 species
CUCGAAAUGUAGUGGACCGGGGUGGAAACAUCCCUUCCCGCAAGGGCUGCUAUAUAGGUGCUGCAUGGCUGUCGUCAGCUCGUGUCGUGAGAUGUUGGGUUAAGUCCCGCAACGAGCGCAACCCUUAUUGUCAGUUGCCAUCAUUCAGUUGGGCACUCUGGCGAAACCGCCUCGGAUAACGGGGAGGAAGGUGGGGAUGACGUCAAGUCCUCAUGGCCUUUAUGUCCAGGGCUACACACGUGCUACAAUGGUCGGUACAAACCGUCGCAAACCCGCGAGGGGGAGCUAAUCGGAAAAAGCCGACCUCAGUUCGGAUUGAAGUCCGCAACUCGACUUCAUGAAGCUGGAAUCGCUAGUAAUCGCGGAUCAGAACGCCGCGGUGAAUACGUUCCCGGGCCUUGUACACACCGCCCGUCACAUCACGAAAGUGGGCUGUACUAGAAGCCGGUGGGCCAACCGCAAGGAGGCAGCUGUCCAAGGUAUAACUCAUGAUUGGGGUGAAGUCGUAACAAGGUAGGCGUAGUGCU